rnacentral:rRNA from 1 species
CAGGUAGUUGGUGAGGUAAAGGCUCACCAAGCCUACGACGGGUAGCCGGCCUGAGAGGGUGACCGGCCACACUGGGACUGAGACACGGCCCAGACUCCUACGGGAGGCAGCAGUGGGGAAUAUUGCACAAUGGGCGCAAGCCUGAUGCAGCAACGCCGCGUGAGGGAUGACGGCCUUCGGGUUGUAAACCUCUUUUAGUAGGGAAGAAGCGAAAGUGACGGUACCUGCAGAAAAAGCACCGGCUAACUACGUGCCAGCAGCCGCGGUAAUACGUAGGGUGCGAGCGUUGUCCGGAAUUAUUGGGCGUAAAGAGCUCGUAGGCGGUCUGUCGCGUCUGCUGUGAAAACCCGAGGCUCAACCUCGGGCCUGCAGUGGGUACGGGCAGACUAGAGUGCGGUAGGGGAGAAUGGAAUUCCUGGUGUAGCGGUGGAAUGCGCAGAUAUCAGGAGGAACACCGAUGGCGAAGGCAGUUCUCUGGGCCGUAACUGACGCUGAGGAGCGAAAGCGUGGGGAGCGAACAGGAUUAGAUACCCUGGUAGUCCACGCCGU